rnacentral:rRNA from 1 species
UACGGGGGGGCAAGCGUUGUUCGGAAUUACUGGGCGUAAAGGGUUCGUAAGGUGGCCAACUAAGUCAGACGUGAAAUCCCUCAGCUCAACUGGGAACUGCGUCUGAUACUGGUCGGCUUGAGUGCAGGAGAGGAACGCGGAAUUCCUGGUGUAGCGGUGAAAUGCGCAGAUAUCAGGAGGAACACCAAUGGCGAAGGCAGCUCGCUGGAACGGUACUGACGCUGAGGCGCGAAAGCGUGGGGAGCGAACGGG